rnacentral:rRNA from 1 species
GAUGAACGCUAGCGGCAGGCUUAACACAUGCAAGUCGAGGGGCAGCACGUCUUCGGAUGGUGGCGACCGGCGCACGGGUGCGUAACGCGUAUACAAUCUACCUUUUACAGGGGCAUAGCCCGGGGAAACCCGGAUUAAUAUCCCAUGGUAUCAUUUAGUGGCAUCACUUGAAUGAUUAAAGUUUCGGCGGUAAAAGAUGAGUAUGCGUCCUAUUAGCUAGAUGGUAAGGUAACGGCUUACCAUGGCAACGAUAGGUAGGGGUCCUGAGAGGGAGAUCCCCCACACUGGUACUGAGACACGGACCAGACUCCUACGGGAGGCAGCAGUGAGGAAUAUUGGACAAUGGGCGAGAGCCUGAUCCAGCCAUGCCGCGUGCAGGAAGACUGCCCUAUGGGUUGUAAACUGCUUUUAUACGGGAAGAAACACCCUCACGUGUGAGGGCUUGACGGUACCGUAUGAAUAAGGAUCGGCUAACUCCGUGCCAGCAGCCGCGGUAAUAC